rnacentral:rRNA from 1 species
GAUGAACGCUAGCGACAGGCUUAACACAUGCAAGUCGAGGGGCAGCGAGGGCGUAGCAAUACGCCUGUCGGCGACCGGCGCACUGGUGAGUAACACGUAUGCGACCUGCCCCCUACAGGGGUAUAACCCGUAGAAAUGCGGACUAAUCCCCCAUAGUCCUGGGUGCUGCAUGGCAUUCAGGGGAAAGGCCAGCCGGUAGGGGAUGGGCAUGCGGCGCAUUAGCUAGUUGGCGGGGUAACGGCCCACCAAGGCGACGAUCAGUAGGGGUUCUGAGAGGAAGGUCCCCCCANAUUGGAACUGAGACACGGUCCAAACUCCUACGGGAGGCAGCAGUGAGGAAUAUUGGUCAAUGGGCAGAGCCUGAACCAGCCAAGUAGCGUGCAGGAUGACGGCCCUAUGGGUUGUAAACUGCUUUUAUAAGGGAAUAAAGUGAGCCACGUGUGGUUUUUUGCAUGUACCCUAUGAAUAAGGACCGGCUAAUUCCGUG